rnacentral:rRNA from 1 species
GAUGAACGCUAGCGAUAGGCUUAACACAUGCAAGUCGAGGGGCAGCACAAGGUAGCUUGCUAUCUGGGUGGCGACCGGCGCACGGGUGCGUAACGCGUAUGCAACUUGCCCUAUACAGGAGGAUAACCCGUCGAAAGACGGACUAAUACUGCGUAUGCUCACAACUUGGCAUCAAGUGGUGAGGAAAGAAAUUCGGUAUAGGAUAGGCAUGCGUCCCAUUAGCUUGUUGGUGAGGUAACGGCUCACCAAGGCAACGAUGGGUAGGGGAACUGAGAGGUUUAUCCCCCACACUGGUACUGAGACACGGACCAGACUCCUACGGGAGGCAGCAGUGAGGAAUAUUGGUCAAUGGGCGCGAGCCUGAACCAGCCAAGUCGCGUGAAGGAUGACUGUCUUAUGGAUUGUAAACUUCUUUUAUACGAGAAUAACAAGAGUCACGUGUGACUCCCUGCAUGUACCGUAUGAAUAAGCAUCGGCUAACUCCGUG